UUCAAGACUCUUCCACAAGUUCAGUGCAAUGAUUUUAAUCUCUUUUGUGGCUUUCUCCAGUAAAACACCAUAUUCAUUAAUAUAACAAUCAAUGGAUGUCCAUACGGGUAUAGAGCCAUACUUUCGGCCUCAUUUGAAUACAUUGAAAGAGGCCCAUCCUUAGGAUUCAAUUAUAUUUGAAGAUUAUUCAGUCUUUUCAUAAGUCUAGGAUAUUCCCA
rnacentral:lncRNA from 1 species